GGAGUUAGCCGGUGCUUCUUCUGCGAGUAACGUCACAGAUGUAAGGUAUUAACUUACACCCUUUCCUCCUCGCUGAAAGUGCUUUACAACCCGAAGGCCUUCUUCACACACGCGGCAUGGCUGCAUCAGGGUUUCCCCCAUUGUGCAAUAUUCCCCACUGCUGCCUCCCGUAGGAGUCUGGGCCGUGUCUCAGUCCCAGUGUGGCUGAUCAUCCUCUCAGACCAGCUAGGGAUCGUCGCCUAGGUGAGCCUUUACCUCACCUACUAGCUAAUCCCACCUGGGCUUAUCCAUCAGCGCAAGGCCCGAAGGUCCCCUGCUUUCCCCCGUAGGGCGUAUGCGGUAUUAGCAGUCGUUUCCAACUGUUAUCCCCCACAAAUGGGCAAAUUCCCAGGCAUUACUCACCCGUCCGCCGCUCGUCAUCUUCAAAAGCAAGCUUUUGAAAUGUUACCGCUCGACUUGCAUGUGUAGCUCGCCGCCAGCGUCAUCUGAGCAGAUACAACUACUGA
rnacentral:rRNA from 1 species